rnacentral:misc_RNA from 1 species
UCUCCGUUGGUGAACCAGCGGAGGGAUCAUUACAGGAUCGAAAGACUCCUAUAACCCCUGUGAACUUACUACAAAUACGUUGCUUCGGCGGGUGCCCCGGGUCUCCCGGGGCGUUCAGCCCGCCGGCAGCCUUCAAAUUCUGUUUCUUUGCGUUGGCAUCUCGAGUAUACAAAAAUAAGUUAAAACUUUCAACAGCGGAUCUCUUGGUUCUG